GGGUCGUACGACCGUACGAUGAUGUGGUAGAGUUUGGUUGGUAGUUGAGGGAGAAUGAUAUCUUGACACAUGGCAUUGUUUGGUCAAAUUAUUGGGUGCCACGUGGCCCAGUCAUGGGAUGCCACGUGGCACCCUGGUAUUGGUUGAUUGUUUUGUUUGUUAAAAUGUAUUGGAGUUCGUGGGGAGUUUGGAACCCUGAACAGACUGCCGGUGAUAAGCCAGAGGAAGGUGAGGAUGACGUCAAGUCAUCAUGCCCCUUACGCCCUGAGCGACACACGUGCUACAAUGACCGGGACAAAGGGUCGCGACCCCGCGAGGGCAAGCUAACC
rnacentral:ncRNA from 1 species